rnacentral:rRNA from 1 species
CCUACGGGUGGCAGCAGUGGGGAAUAUUGCACAAUGGGGGAAACCCUGAUGCAGCGACGCCGCGUGAGUGAAGAAGUAAUUCGGUAUGUAAAGCUCUAUCAGCAGGGAAGAAAAUGACGGUACCUGAGUAAGAAGCCCCGGCUAACUACGUGCCAGCAGCCGCGGUAAUACGUAGGGGGCAAGCGUUAUCCGGAUUUACUGGGUGUAAAGGGAGCGUAGACGGGAGUGCAAGUCUGGAGUGAAAGGCGGGGGCUCAACCCCCGGACUGCUUUGGAAACUGUACGGCUGGAGUGCAGGAGAGGUAAGUGGAAUUCCGAGUGUAGCGGUGAAAUGCGUAGAUAUUAGGAGGAACACCAGUGGCGAAGGCGGCUUACUGGACUGUAACUGACGUUGAGGCUCGAAAGCGUGGGGAGCAAACAGGAUUAGAUACCCCAGUAGUC